UCGUUAAAUGGUUAGAUCUUUGGUCACCCC
rnacentral:piRNA from 1 species